UACUCCUACGGGAGGCAGCAGUAGGGAAUCUUCCGCAAUGGACGCAAGUCUGACGGAGCAACGCCGCGUGAGUGAAGAAGGUUUUCGGAUCGUAAAACUCUGUUGUUAGAGAAGAACAAGUGCUAGAGUAACUGUUAGCGCCUUGACGGUAUCUAACCAGAAAGCCACGGCUAACUACGUGCCAGCAGCCGCGGUAAUACGUAGGUGGCAAGCGUUGUCCGGAUUUAUUGGGCGUAAAGCGAGCGCAGGCGGUUCCUUAAGUCUGAUGUGAAAGCCCCCGGCUCAACCAGGGAGGGUCAUUGGAAACUGGGGAACUUGAGUGCAGAAGAGGAGAGUGGAAUUCCAUGUGUAGCGGUGAAAUGCGUAGAUAUAUGGAGGAACACCAGUGGCGAAGGCGACUCUCUGGUCUGUAACUGACGCUGAGGCUCGAAAGCGUGGGUAGCAAACAGGAUUAGAUACCCUGGUAGUCCACGCCGUAAACGAUGAGUGCUAAGUGUUGGAGGGUUUCCGCCCUUCAGUGCUGCAGUUAACGCAUUAAGCACUCCGCCUGGGGAGUACGACCGCAAGGUUGAAACUCAAAGGAAUUGACGG
rnacentral:rRNA from 1 species